GAGAGACUUGGGGGUAAAAAGGAGAACGACGAGGGGUUUGGGUGGUCAGUGUGGACGUGAAGCGGAGAAGAAAAGACACUGUAAAGAUGUAAGUAAUUAAAACAGCGGUUAAGUAUAUCUUGUGUUUGCAUUUGUGCCUCGCCUUCCACUGGGAUCGAAUGGACGGGCUUUGCCCCCGAGAGUGGGAAUAGGCUCCCACAAAUGGCGCCCAGAUGUGGGGUUCGAGCUCGUUCGUUCGAUGACGUGGGAGACGCAGCGCGUUUGAUCUGCUGUUGUUCUAUUUUGACGUUUGAAAUUUUUUGUUCAUUGUGAUACCGCUGGAUUGUUCUGCUUGGAUCAUUUUGUGUUUUCAUUUUUCCGGCGUAUCUGGUUUUGUCAGGGCAGCACUUUUGCUGCUCGUUUUGUUUGAGUAUUCUAGUUGUGUCCGGUAUUCGAGCCCAUACAGCUGAUGGACCGUACGCCUUCACGCGGGUACAACCUCCGGAGCGGAGCGAAGACCCCGGUACCCCAACGGUCCCACUCGGAGGAGCGGCCGGUACACGUCGCCCCGGCGCCUACGGAGCCUAGAGGACCGGCCGACGAUGAGAAGGCACCUGCCGUGCCUCCAUCCCAAGGUACGUCGACUGCGGUAUCUGCAGUGCCACAGUCAGACACCACAGCAACGGCAGAGCUUCUGUCACGUAUGGCAGAGCUGUGCUCGUUGAUGACGCGACGCCUUGAUGCCGGGUUGGUUUCGCCGCCGCAGGCACAAGCGCCCGUCCGACUGACAAUCCCUAUUCCUACCUUCUCAGGGUGUACCGAUAGAAAGUCAGUCGCAGACUUCUUGGAUGACCUUACCGCCUAUCAGGCUGGUAUGGGAAUCUCAGAUGAGGUCUUGAUCCUACGCAUCCUGCAGGUUGCUUUGGUAGGAGACGCCGCCCGCUGACUUCGACUGCAGUCGAGGUUCACGUCCUUGCAGGACUUCAAGCAGCGGUUUAAAAACGAAUACCUUCCCCCGGAUUACGAAUAUCGUAUCCUGGAGGAGCUGCACAAACGUACUCAGCAUCCAGAGGAGACGUUGGCAGAAUUCGUUCGGGCCCUGCAAGAGCUGUACAGCAGAGCAGAACCAACUGCAACAGAGCAGCAGCGAGUAGCACGGGCUAUCCGUCAGUGCCACCCCCGCUUCCGGCCCUACCUUCGAACCCAUCGCUUUGAUAGUCUUGAAGCGUUGGCGCAGGAGGCUCGUACCAUACAGGGCGACCUCCUCGCCGAACUCGAAUAUCGGCCCCCGCCGCCGCCUGAAUGGGCGUUAGAACCACGCUGUGCGUGGUCAGAGGGAGCAGCCUCGGUCGAACGCCUACCUGCAGUGGGACAGGAUGAGCACCACCGCAAUCCUUAUGCAGAGCCAUCCCGCCGAGCAAUUGAUCCCUUCCGUCAUGGACAGAGGGCGAUCCCUGCAGGAACGAGCCAUGACAGACCCGUCCUGCCGAAUUAUAGUGGUCAACCCGGCAACACAGCUGGCGAAACUACCGACAGGCAGCGGGAACGGCAGCGCCUGCCGCGCUCGCAGCCGCCAAGGUCCGCCGGCUGUUGGAAUUGCGGCAGCCCCGAACAUUUCCGUCGGGACUGUCCGCACCGAGGGCCGAAUACCCGUAAUGUGCCAACGGGAAACGGCCGCAGCCGACGUCCAUGAACGAUAGCUUAACGACGUCGGCUAUCUGCCGAAAGAGCGAACGAACUGUCGCUAGCAGCGGCCUUGAUCAUGCAAAAGCUGGCUCUGCAAGCAGCAAGACAACCAAAGGAGACGCAUUAGCUCCUUUUGCUCUCUCUGUUCGGAAUGGCCAUUCAGGACAGAGAAUCAAAUAUCGCAGUUCGCAUUUUGGGCAGAAAUUACAUCGCCCUUAUCGAUACGGGAGCUACACUCUCUCUCAUCGGCGACUGUGUUUACGAGCACUGCCUGCAAAGACAAGUAGUUCUGCAGACUACUGAGGUCACCCUUCGUCUUGCUUCCAAUGACGUCAUUCCAGCACAAUCUGCAGUUGUGCUCUGGCUCCGUUUCGAUGGGAGACGGCGAAAGCAGCGCUUCGUUCACCUUCCUGUGGCAGUGCCCGUUAUCCUGGGCAGGGAUUUCAUCAUCCGGCACAAGUUGGCACUGGACCUGCCCAAUGGAGGAUACGUAUACCACGGUUCGACGGUUCUUCUCCUUCGCCACGGCAGCGGACGAUUGCACAGCACAGCAAGCUGCAACAGUCUCCACCGAACCGUCUGCACUCCCGACUGUCUUGGCGUCAUUCCAUGGUCCUGAGGAGGAGCGCCGUCAGCUUCAACAAGUAUUGCGGCAGUACGACGGUAUCUUUACGGAAAAACCCGGUAAGACGUCUCUGUUACAGCAUAGCAUAGACACGGGUAACGCUAGGCCCUGGCGUUGUAAUCCAAGACCUUUGAGCGUACAUAAGCGUGCUUUGUUAGACGCUGCUCUAGAAUAAAUGCUCCAAACCGGUGCAGUUCAGAGAUCCCAGAGCCCUUGGGCGUUUCCUGUCGUCCUGGCUCCGAAACGUGAUGGUACGGCAAGGUUAUGCGUCGACUAUCGUCGACUUAACGCAGUAACUGUAAGGCACUCUUAUCCCUUCCCGUCCAUCGAAUCAAUCAUGUAUUCCCUGGGCAACGCUGCGGUGUUUUCAACGCUUGAUUGUAACAGAGGGUUCUUGCAGAUCCACGUUGCCCCGGAGGAUGUCCCGAAGACAGCCUUUACCUGUCAUAGGGGUCUGUUCGAGUUCGUACGGAUGCCUUUCGGUCUGUCUAACUCACCAGCCAGUUUCGAGCGGUUGAUGGACACCGUAUUAGGAGAUGCGAAGUACAAUUUCGCGAUGGCGUACAUGGAUGAUGUCGUAGUGUUUUCCAGAAAUUUUCAGGAACACUUGGAACACCUGUCAAUCGUCCUUGCAAGGAUGAAACAGGCGGGGCUAACCAUUAACCCCGCAAGGUACAGCUGGCAUCGCCUAGGAUCAGCCUUCUCGGCCUCGUGGUGGACGGAGGCACCGUCAGUCCUAGCGAUGACAAGCUAAAGGCGAUCAUGGAGUUUCCGGUUCCCGGUAACGUAAAAGCCUUGCAGCGUUUUCUAGGUAUGGUUGGUUUUUACCGACAAUUCAUUCCUAAUUGUGCUCAGUUAGCGCAGCCGCUUAACCAGUUGUUGCGCAAAGACACACGCUGGCAUUGGGGAGAACAGCAGAAACAAUCCUUCCGAGCUCUAUCUCAUGCAAUCGCUAAUACGGCCAGGCUAUAUUUGCCCGACCUAAAUAAACCGUUUGUUGUGCAAACAGAUGCUAGCGAUUAUGGUGUUGGCGCAGUUCUCUUGCAGGAGCAUGACGCUAUUCUCUGUCCAGUGGCUUUUGCAAGUCGCACGCUGAAUCCGGCAGAACGGAACUAUUCCGUCACGGAAAAGGAGUGCCUGGCGAUCAUCUUCGCUCUCAGGAAGUUUGAUCUCUACCUGGAUGGCAGCACUUUCACCGUCCAGACUGACCACCAGGCACUCUCAUGGCUGCAGCGGCUCCACAACCCAGCUGAACGUCUCGCCAGGUGGGCCCUGAAGCUAUAAGGCUACUCCUUCAACGUGGAGUACAGGCGGGGCUUCACGAACGUGGUAGCGGACGCACUAUCCCGUGCGCCUCUACCGGAGGGGGAAGAGGUAGGCACCGAGGCGCCUUCUCAACUCCUGGCAGCAGCACAAGUGGCACGGGACGGAUCCUCGUCCUGGGGCACGGUCGUGAGCAGAGAGGAGCUCCUAGACGCUCAGAAAGCGGACGGCCUUUGUCAGCGGGUGUCUCAAUGGUUAGCUGAGCAGGUCUCGGCAGACACCGGAACGUCUGACGGACGGCAUGACUCCUAUCUGCUGGGCGAGGAUGGCAUCCUGUUCAGGUACAUGCCCCAGGCGGAUGACGACGACGGUACAUCCCCAUUCAGAGUCGUGGUGCCACGGAAGCUGCCGCUCAACUGGAUCCGUGCUCCUUUGCUCCGGAUGGUUGUCAUAUUGAAAACCAACUAGACAAAAUCGGAAAUGGAAAGAAUCCAAGAACCCCUCCGAAUGCUUGAAACGUGACGGUGGAGACAAAUCGGUGGGACAGGAAGAGAGGAGAGGACAGGGCGAAGUAGUCGACGGAAAAAAG